UACGUAGGGUGCAAGCGUUGUCCGGAAUUAUUGGGCGUAAAGAGCUCGUAGGCGGUCUGUCGCGUCGGCUGUGAAGUCCCGAGGCUCAACCUCGGGUCUGCAGUCGAUACGGGCAAACUAGAGUAUUGCAGGGGAGACUGGAAUUCCUGGUGUAGCGGUGAAAUGCGCAGAUAUCAGGAGGAACACCGGUGGCGAAGGCGGGUCUCUGGGCAAUAACUGACGCUGAGGAGCGAAAGCGUGGGGAGCGAACAGG
rnacentral:rRNA from 1 species